UUUUUCUUCCGUUAAUUAAAUGUUUUAGAAAUAUAGGUAGGUGUUGGGCGUACAGAGAGGGAGAACGCAAGCAGCGGACAACUUCUCCCCGCAGAUCCGAUAGGCGUGCUGGGAUGGCAAACGAAGCGGGUCGGGUGCAGGGACACCAACUAUUGUAUUUUCAAAUUGUCCGAGCCCUGGACCCCGGCGGCUCCGCAACGGUGGCUGUCAACACCGCGAGCGAAGGUUCCACGAGCAGCGAGCGGCCUCGCCGGGACGGCCGCAGGUAGCAUGAUCUCUGACAUUUGGCAAAGGGAGAAGGUCCAACCUGUGCAGGGCAUUAUGGAAUGUGAGUAUUUAGGAGAUUUGCAUCUCAUAAGGAUGGUUAGUGAUUAUGGGAGGUGAAAAAUGAGGGCAGAAACCAAAACUGCAAGAAAAAGCAGCAGCAGAGGGGAGGUGUG
rnacentral:lncRNA from 1 species